rnacentral:lncRNA from 1 species
AACAAGUAUAUAACCCAACUACUCCACCUCCGCACCCUCAUUAUGCACAUGCACCCCCUCAAAAACCCAGUCUUGAAGAAACUUUGCAAUCUUUCAUGCAAGGUCAAGCUAAAAUCAAUGAUGAAUUAAGAAAUCAACUGACAACGCUGACCACUGCUUUAAGUGCUCAAGAGAAGGGUAAGCUACCAGCUCAACCACAACCUAACCCUCAAGUCUAUGGUGGUAGCAAUGCAUCAUCUUCAACUUCGCAUAAAGAACAAGCGAAGAGUAUAAUAACUUUGCGAAGUGGAAAAGUUAUUGACCGACCAGUCCCAGAAC